AAGGACCGAGUUCAUUGAUGACAAUAGGAAGGAGCAGCCCUGGCAGUGGAAGAGUAAAUCCUAGAUAGUGUGAAUGACAGCCAUGUGCAGGAACAUGAGGGAAGGCAUGUGUGACUGACAGGCCAACUGUGUCAGGGAGCCAUCAGACAGAGGGUCAGCAGCCAGUUAAGUAGCAUCUUACACGUUGUGAUAUGGAAAUUUGGAGGUUAUUCCAAGUUAUGAUGGGACCAUCUGAGGCUUAUAAGCAGAAGAUCAAACUAAAUAAAAUAGCUUUGGCUGAGGUGUGAUUAGUGGGAAAAGGCAGAGAGAGUAGCCCUUGGAAAGGGCUCUGUUGCAACCCAAACUAAAAAACAAAGAAAGGUGAGCAGAAUCAGUAGAAUGGGAGAUGGCUUAAGAUCUGAAAGCAAAAAUAGCAGGACUUUGCGUAUGUUUACAAAAGGGGCACAGAAGAAAAUAAAGUCUAACUUUUGUCCCUCAACUUGGAGACUAUUAUGGCAAAUGAAACCAAUCAUAUUUCCACCAGGUUGACUGGAUAAAAAAAAGGGAGGGAGGGAGAUUAUUCUCAGGGUAGGGAAAAAAUGAAGACAAUCACAUAGGAGAGCACGUAAGGAAAUGUUGCUUUUAAACUGUGGACUCUAAAAGGUAUCAGAGGGCUUGCCUAGAAUUCUUGACAGGAGAGUGUGGCUGGACAAAUACCGUAUCUGCAUUAUAGGGGAGACCAAGGGGGCUAGAGAAAGGAAGAGGGUGAAUCUGUCUAACAUUCACCGGUUUGAAACCUAUUUAUGUCGCUGGUGGUGUGAGCACUUAACGUGGUGGGUCCCUGUCACGGUGCAGCGUACCGGCGACGGGAAGCCUCGCAAGUAGGUCUCAUUUGGAAGCCUUCAUCUCGAACGACCCCUCGGAAACAAACGUGGUGGCUCCGAAUCAACCCCGUCCGCGGGGUGAUCGCCGCGUGAAGUCGAGUCGAGAAAGACUUCGGCGGAUCCCUCAACUUCGUCACCUCCAGACGCUCCCCGGCUCCGCGGCCCAGGACGGCCGGUCAUUUUUCUCCCGGGAUCGGGAGGCUGGAAGCUCGCAGGCCCCCUAGCGUCCAACCGUUCAGCGCGGAGGCCCCGGCUCGCGCCCGCCCGCCACCCCGUGCACCCACCCAGCCACCCGCCGGACGCCGCGACCCGGGUCCUCCCGCGGACCGCAGACCCCCCGAGACCCCGCCCGGGCAGCCCGCGAGAGACGCCGCCGCCCCGCCUCCCGCCCGCCCUCCCGCGCGCGCCAACUCCCAGCGCCGCGCGCUGAUUGGCCGGCGCCUUCCCGCUCUGCUUCCCGAACCGCCAUUUUGAAAAUCUUGUUGAUUCUGAGGAGCGGGGAGAGAGAGAGCGCGAGAGAGAGCGAGCGCGCGGCGCGAGGACCUCGGCCCCGCGCGACUUCUACACAGCGGCGGCCUUCUCGUGCGCACCCGCGGCCCCCAGCAUGUCGGCGGCGGCGGCCCCCGCUGCGGAGGGAGAGGACGCCCCCGUGCCGCCCUCAUCCGAGAAGGAACCCGAGAUGCCGGGUCCCAGGGAAGAGAGUGAGGAGGAGGAGGAGGAUGACGAAGACGAUGAUGAAGAGGACGAGGAGGAAGAAAAAGAAAAGAGUCUUAUCGUGGAAGGCAAGAGAGAGAAGAAGAAAGUAGAGAGACUGACGAUGCAAGUGUCUUCCUUACAGAGAGAGCCAUUUACAGUGACACAAGGGAAGGGUCAGAAACUUUGUGAAAUUGAAAGGAUACAUUUCUUUCUGAGUAAGAAAAAACCAGAUGAACUUAGAAAUCUACACAAACUGCUUUACAACAGGCCGGGCACAGUGUCCUCGUUGAAGAAGAACGUGGGUCAGUUCAGUGGCUUUCCAUUCGAAAAAGGCAGUACCCAGUAUAAAAAGAAGGAAGAAAUGUUGAAAAAGUUUCGAAAUGCCAUGUUAAAGAGCAUCUGUGAGGUUCUUGAUUUAGAGAGGUCAGGCGUGAACAGCGAACUCGUGAAGAGGAUCUUGAACUUCUUAAUGCAUCCAAAGCCUUCUGGCAAACCAUUACCAAAAUCCAAAAAAUCUUCCAGCAAAGGUAGUAAAAAGGAACGGAACAGUUCUGGAACAACAAGGAAGUCAAAGCAAACUAAAUGCCCUGAAAUUCUGUCAGAUGAGUCUAGUAGUGAUGAAGAUGAGAAGAAAAAUAAGGAAGAGUCUUCGGAAGAUGAAGAGAAAGAAAGUGAAGAGGAGUACAACCUUUCUGCUGUGAGGACAGAAUUCUGGCUCUGUGACAGGCAUCUUUUUUGGUGACCCUUCUUCAAGAGCCCUGCUGCCUAUAACAGAUAGCAACCACCAAAAAAGACAUCUAAAAAAGAAAAAGCAAAACAGAAAGCUACUGCUAAAAGUAAAAAAUCUGUGAAGAGUGCUAAUGUUAAGAAGGCAGACAGCAGUACCACCAAGAAGAAUCAAAAAAGUUCCAAAAAAGAGUCUGAAUCUGAAGACAGUUCUGAUGAUGAACCCUUAAUUAAAAAAUUGAAAAAGCCACCUACAGAUGAAGAGCUAAAGGAAACAGUGAAGAAAUUACUGGCUGAUGCUAACUUGGAAGAAGUCACAAUGAAGCAGAUUUGCAAAGAGGUAUAUGAAAAUUAUCCUGCUUAUGAUUUGACUGAGAGGAAAGAUUUCAUUAAAACAACUGUAAAAGAGCUAAUUUCUUGAGAAGCGGACAGAUGGCUUGUUCUCAGAUUUGAAGAUCUGAUUUUAUACCAGCAAAGAGAAUGUAUUCUUUUUUAAGGCUAUUGUUGGUAGAACUUGCUGCUGACUCUUUUGCGUGUUAACAUAUUUGAGCUUGUUUUAAAUUGUAUUUUCUUGUAGUUUUCAGUUUAAAUCUUGCAUGGCAGUAAUCGUUCCUUGCUUUUUAUAGUUGUACAUUUUGGGUUUCUUUAUUGUAAGGUCACAGAUUCCUGAACUAUUGUGAAUUUUAGUGAACUUAAUGUUAGCUUGCUUAAGACAUUACUUUUAAUCAAAGCAAAAACUAUUAUAACCAGCAUUUAUAUGUGCAAAGACUAUUGCAGUAUUUAGUAUACAAAAUAUUUUGAAUACGCCUUCUGUCAGUGUGAAAACAUAGCGGCAGUCUGUUCAUCAUAGGGCACAGCUGUUCAGAUGACCGAGUCGGAACCUUUUCUGCAUGUGUAUAUACGUCAAGUUGUUGGCAUGACAGAAGUGACAGAUGUUAUUUUUGUAUUUUUAAAAACCAAUUUGUUGUAUAUAAUUUUUUUAUUUCUUUUGUGCAAAUCAAUUUUUUAAACUCUUGUGUCUUUAAACUUGUAACUAAAUGUCAGUGUUCAUCCAGGCAGCAGUGACAGCGCAGAGUUCAGUGGUGAUGGCACUGAGGACUGUCCAGUUCUGCUUUGCCCUCAAAGUGUCAUCAAUGUGGUUGUGUUAACUCUAAGUGUCAUAGAAAUUUUAUAAUGAGGAUAAACACAUCACAGCUUCAAAAACUGGGAAGGCGUGAGCACACAUGGAUUUAUAUAUAAGUGAACUGACAGUAGUAAACUGUUGACCAUAUAAAUAUAUUAGAUACAGGAAACCUGGUUACCUUCAUAAUUAUGAUUAAAAGCAUCAAGUGUAACCAGAGUUGGUGUGGACAACAUAGGUAUCUCUGAAAGUAUUUAUCAAAAACCAUACAUUAAUAUUGAAGUAUUACAGAAUCAAGGCUGUUUGAUUUUUAAAGUGAUGAAACAUGGACUGCCCCUUAAAUUUUGACUGUCCUAAAAACCUAUUUCUGAUUUAUAAUAUGCUGCCUGAUAAAGUGACACUAGAUGUACCAGCUGAGUGUUUAAUCUUCCCAUCACAGAUCAGAUUUGAGCAUUAACAGGUAUUUUCACAUACUUGACUUCAAUAUGCUUAAAGUGAGGAACAAGCAAUUAAGUGGGGACUAAAAAUGUUGGCCUUUAAGCAAUUUGUCAUAAAUCUUCACAAUAAAGAAUAAAUCAAUGUUUUAA